ACUUUGCAGCUGAUUCACCAGCUUUGCGAUCAUUGCGAUUUGCUGCGCUUCACAUUCAGCUGCAGCUUAGAGCUUUAGCUGUGAUUGAUUUGUCACGGUCAUGGUCAAGGUUUUUGUUUUUCUGUAUACGAAAUAGUUUCCUGUUUGGCAACUGAAUAGUUUCGCAAAAUAUUUCACUCGCAACGAGUCUUCGUGGCUCGCCUAUUGUUGCUACUAAUUCGCACUUAAAUUCCCUGCAAUGUGAAAAGUCAAUCUUGCAGCAAGUGUCGAUGGCCUUGCUUCUGUUGAACUAAUUUUCUUCGAAUGUAAAUGCAUGGUAAUCGAUGUCUGAAAAUUGAUAUAAUUGUAAAAUAAUUGCUACAAUCAACAAUUCAGUUGGCACAGCUUAAGGUAAGUUAAUCCCAUGUCUAGCUCUUUUAGCUUCCUGGAAUCAAUGCACAAUGAUUGUUGGCUGAUGGAAUAUUGAUAUUAUAGUUAAGCUUGAGCUUGCAAAGGGCGCCACCUUAAUCGUUAUCGCUUUGCCAUCGAACCAAACCUCUGUUGGCCCAUUGAAUGACCCGCCCAACUCUGACGUUUGCUGCUCUUGCUGUUGCUGUUGCUGCUGCCUGUUUCCCUGAGGUGAUUUUGCAAGAUUUGUCUGACGUGACGACUGCUGGGAGAACUGCUCGAGAAACUAAUUUCUUCAAAUCAAAUGUUGAGCAAAAAGUGUAUUGCAAUCAAUGCUUAUGCAAGUAAUGGCUCUGAUAAAUGUACUUGCAAUUAUGAAUUGCAAAAAAUUUAAGAUUUAUACACAAUUUUUUUAAGCAUAGAAUUUCGUUUCAAUAC